rnacentral:lncRNA from 1 species
GCUCCUUCCAAAAGCCGCUGGAGCCAAGGUCAUCGAGGAGUUGAUUCUCUUCCGUAUCGUGCUCUGGGGGCACAAGAAGAGCGCUGGACGAGCUCGGGAGGAGAGUUCGAAAGACGCCGAUCACAAUCGUGAGACCCCAGACAAACAGGAGCACAGCAUGAAGAAGAGGAAGAAGUAACAGCAUAUUCUCAGCGUGAAGGAGCACAGGCGUCUCUGCCGAGCAGGCAAGAGUGACGCUGAAGCCUGAGAGCACUCCAAGCGUGAUCCACGUAAACGCAAACAAAACAUUCGAGGAUCGUUGCCGGUAAGGCAUCCUCAGUAGACACAGAAGGACAAAGACGCAGAUUAUGGUAAAGGCGAGGACACUCUGAGUCCGUGAACCAAACGGAUUUGCAGCCAUUUCUGCAAGAGGGUCUAUCGCCCAAGACGGCGUGUCUGUGGUGAUAACGGAAGGUGACGAACCUCCCGCUCCAGAUGUGUCUGAAGAAGUUGACGCGCUCGAAAGGCCGGAAGGGAACAUCUGCUGAAAAAGCCAAGCGACACCCGUAGAGGGCUUAUACGCCUGGUUCCCAAAGCAGGAAACCAGAAGGCAGAGGAGGAAUUUGACAACCAUGAGCGUUUGCCGGUGGUAAACUCGCCCCCAUUCGCGCCGAAAAGAUGUGAACGCCCACAACAUUUGUACACGCCAGCUAUCAUUCAGGUGCAACAUGUAUUCCAGCUCUUUCUGUUGGACGUAUUCUUCAUGGUUUUCGUCUGUUUGCGCCACCAAAUGGGCGUUCACUUGGUUGCCUACGUAGUACAUGGCCAUAACAGCUAGCAGGAAGGCAAUUAUCCCAAUCACAACACGCCCUAUGAACAGGCCUUGGUCGUCACAUAUUUCUGCUUGAUCUUGACAAAAAACGAUUGGGAGUACCGAAUUUAGGUAUGGGGCGAACAUCCACGUCACCAGAAUGACCCGUCCCUGGACAACACAGAGGCAGGCUUCAUGCCAAAGAUCAGCACCGAAAUCGCAAAGCUUCAGCAAUUUGGAAUCACGAUCUCUUAUCUGUUCAUCAUUCUGCAAAGCGAAUACGACGCUGAGGGACAUACGACCUGAGGACUGCCGUUGCUUCCGUUGGAGCUCCUCGGCGCGUUCGCGAGCUUCCUGCCUCUUUUCUUUCGGGGAUUUGGCAAAGCUUAUCCAUCGAGAUCCCCCCCAGAGCAGCACUGCAGUAGCCAGAACGACGAGAGUGAAGACGCAAGCAAGAACGAGACGGGAGUUGGCGGUGGAACCUGCAGCGCUGGCAACGAGAACAUUUGACGAGUCUAAGCGAUUCAAGAGCAAGUGGAACAAGUCCAAGUUGGCCGCCAGCGCCGGAAAAGUAUGUUGGUUCCAGGACGGAGGGAACUGGGGAAGAACAAUCAGCCAGAGCAGGCACCAGACUUGGAAGGCAUCUAAGGCCAGAAGCCAUUUCUCAACCCAGUAGAGAGACACAGACCGCUGCGGCGGAAGACUGUCCAGAGAAAAGUUAGCGGCCAUCGAGGCCGCUGGACCAUCGCAACCCAUGCUGGUGAAAAAGGUGCUUUGCUCUUUUGGUCCUGGACCCACGUUUUGGACUGGGAAUUCCACGGGGACAGCAUGACCCGAGCCAGUAUCUGCAACCUGCAUUCAGCGUGUACCAUUGCGCACCGAGGAUCGAGGGCGUUGGUGGAAUCAUCCCUAUAAACGCAGCGACGCAGUGGCAUCAAACUGACAGACUAAGUUCCGUUUGGAAUGAGCUCCGGCGAAGUAGCAAGAAGAAGGAGCAAGGAGAAGGUACAGAGACAGUCAUGGGCAUUUUGAUCCGAACACUGUUUCGAAAAGCGCCCUCAGUAAUUUCUCCGUCAAUAUGAUUCCUUUGAUUCACUCAAAUCGGUACGAAUGUGGAUAGACAGGAGACGGAAUUUCUUGCAUCGUCCGCGAGUGAUUGCGUCGGUGGAGGAAGUACCAGGAGAGGGCAGUUUGUGGGUUUAUCAUGUGGUGUCUGUGCUGCUGAAUCUGAGUUUUUUCCCUUUUCCGUGCCGGUAACUGAAAUCCGGCCAAGCCUGAUCCAUUGGAACGACGUUCUUCACUACAUGAACCUUAACCGCUAGUCUGUCCCCAAAAAUGGUUCGGAGACAGUGUUCGACCUCAGCAAGCAGAUUUACUCUGUUUCCAGGUUGACACCGACUGGAGUCGCUGAGGCAACGGAAACUCCUCGGGGGUGUGGGGCAAGCGUCAUUCCACUGUUUCAAGUGCGUAUAGCCGAAGGCUCGCCGAAUUUACUGCUGUUCACACAACUCUGAAUAUUGC